UAUAAAAAAUACUGUUCAUUGUCUAUCUGAAAUUCAAAUUGAACUGGACAUCCUGGAUUUUACCUAGCAACUCUAAAAUAUAAAUAAAUUUGUCUCAACUGGUUAGGACACCUUCUAAGUGUCUGGAUUAAACUGGGUUUCUUGCUGCUUAACUAGAUGUCUCUGGUCUUACGUGAGCAUCCCUGGUUGGUGGAGUGAAAAUCCCAGAUGUUGAAAUAGAUGAAAAGGGGAGGGAAGGAGGUGGCUCACACUUGGAGGGUGAGGGGCCCAGCAUACCCCACCUGCUUUCCCCCUGCCCCCAACUUCCACCCGCACUCCAGAGCGAGAAUGUGCCUUUCCCUCCCAUCAGCCAAGGAUUUGGAGGGAAGGUCUUCAGAAAUCUGGGGAGCUGCUGCGCUCAACCUUGCAGCAUAGGAAAACGGACUGAAAGUUUAACCACUUCGAACCCUCUUCCCAACCCGUACACACACAGGGCCACCCCUUUCCUAUCGCCCUGUUUCCCUGGGCCCUACAACUCUUUCCCUCUGCUGUCUCCACCCCACUACUCCCUCCCCACCCCCUGUCUCUCCAAAUAAGGGAGCCGGAGCUAGUGGAGUGGUCAAACCAGGAUGCCUGUGGGUCUGCUCCCCUCCCCCAGGCUGAACCCAGCUGCCAGCGAGGCCUCGGGGAGGGAGCGGAGCAGAGUGCAGCGCAGCUGGAAGCAGCCCAGCGGAGACCAGUGAUGUUGGGCGCGCCCCGCGAGUAGCCGUGCAGCUCCUCUGGCUCUAGGUUUCCGUGGCUCCGCCUGCACCGGUGCCGGCCAAGUUCACAGUCGGAGGCGGGAGGCAGGCGCAACCUUAGCGCCACGUCAAGGUGAGAAGAGGCCUGCCGGGCUGCCCAGGGCCGGGUCCUCUACUAUGAGACUAGUGGCGCUGGAGGUGGAAGAUGACGUGGCAGCACGAAGAAGCGCCACAUCCUGGGGUUUAGACUUUCAGAUCCUAGGAGCUGACCCAAAGAAAAUAAUCCGGAUCAAGAGAGAUGUGUCCGGAAAUAUGCACAGCAGCAUAAGGGAAAUGAUUUAAUAAAUCUUGGUACAUCGGCACAAUGGAAUGUUUUUUAUUUCUCCUGGCAUUCACUAAGUGCUGACAUGCACCCUGCCUGCUAGGUACACAAAGGACUAGACUCCAUUAGAACCCUGUGGCAGAUGACAUUUUCCAAAAAUGACCACAACAGUAUCUCCCAUCCCAUGUGCUCUUCUACAAUGUGACCUCAACACUCUCCCAUCAACAGCUGUGAUGUGCAGCAAGUUUCAAGGGCAGGGUUUCAUUUUGCAAACAGAUCCUCAGAAAAAUGUGCCUCCAGCUCCCUGUGACCAGCCACGUCAGCAAAACAUACCACGGAAGAGAAGUCUGCUGCCAAGAAAGCUGGGAAGCAGCCCAGGAGCCAAAUGCUACUCAGGAUGCUGUUUCAAAUCAGCUGCUGCCUGCUCCCUCCCAUUGGUGACAAUAACCAGAU